AUGGAUAAAAGUCAGCAUUUCUGGGGUGUGGUUAAUUUCUUUCUAAGGUUGACUUCAAGAGCAGACCUGCUGAAUUGCAAGUCUUCCUCUUCAACUGUAAAGGAGAAAGUCAAACUGAACCUCCAGUAUCAGUUAUGGUGGUUUCAUUCAUUUAGCUUCAGUUUUCUCUUGUUUGGAGUGGCUAAGCCGUGCUCGUGCUACGCUGGAAGUUUGAACCUGAUGAACCUGGGCUGCAACAUGUCCAUUAGAAAGAUAAGUUGGAUGCUUUGGAGACUGACCAGUUGGCAGUAAGAUGAUGUUACAGCCUGUGCACUGGUAGAAAAGAAGAGCAGUUAAUAACAGUUGAGGAGGACACUUUAGCAAAUGUUCCUGGCAGUGGUAUACUGGAGAUCACAACUGCAAAUAACUUUUUCAAAGUACUGAGAGAUGUGAUCUGCAUUUUAUUUAUGAAUAUAUUUCUAUCACUUUAAACACCAGAAAUCAUGCUGAUACUGUUCACUUCUUAAUAAAGAGGUUCAUCAAAGUGAAUAAAUACUUCA
rnacentral:lncRNA from 1 species